rnacentral:misc_RNA from 1 species
CUGCAUAGUUCUCUACAAUUUCCCUGAGCCACAAGGAGAGAAAAAUGACACUUUUAUUAGAUACUGACCAUGAAAGAGAAAAUGUUCAUAAUCCCCAAGAAGACACUUGAGAUGAUCAAAAGACAAGCCAACCCCACUGUCCCCCUUCCCUCUUACAAAACUCUCUUUCUGUUUCGCAAGUGGGGGGUUGUGGAACAGUAGAGAAGUUACCAUUGCUAGAUUAAACCAGCUAAGUGUGGAUUUAGCAAAGACUAGCGGCUGGAAAUAGAUCAUAAGAGCACUAUUAUUGCUGGGUUAAGCAACAAUAUACUUUUUCUUUCUUUACACCAAGAAGAUGAAAACAAAAUGGGACCUUGACGAAUUCUAAAAUCUUUGUGUUGAAUCAUUACCAUGAACAAUUCGUAAACUCAAAUAGAGGUAUACAGUUAAACUUGUUCUUGAAAACAUGGGUGUUCUUCCACUGAAAGACACAACCAACAAGGCACAUGGUUAGAUGGAAAAUAUCCAGAUGUUUAAAUAGCCAUGAACUUAGGGCAUUUGGACUUACAAACUAGAGUAUUUUAUUACUUUUAAGUAUUUUAGUAAACAGUCUCACUUUUAAUCUUCUGUUAGCUCCUGUUUAUCUCAGGGAAUUAAUAAAACCCAACAGGAUGUCAUCAUUCCCCUACAUUCAGAAUUAGACAAAAUGUUCCAUUUAAAAGUGAAUCUUUUUUUAGUCAAAAGAUGGUAAAACCAUGGACACUAGGCUUGUUCCCCUUUACAUCUGAACAUGGCCAUCUCAUCUCCAUGCAUGCCUCAUUUACCAAAAAUGUGAGCAUAUUCAUCUUGACUCAAAAGGAGUUCACAACAGCCACAAGUUCCACAAAAGUGACUACCAAAUUUUACAACAUGGCAAAGGAGGUGAAUAAUUCUGUGGCAGGC